CCGUUGCCGGCGACCGGCGCACGGGUGAGUAACACGUAUGCAACCUGCCCGUGGCAGGGGGAUAAGCGGGGAAACCCCGUCUAAUACCGCGUAACGCGGCCUAGGGACAUCCCAAGGCCGCCAAAGGGAGCAAUCCCGGCCACGGAUGGGCAUGCGGCGCAUUAGCUAGUCGGCGGGGUAACGGCCCACCGAGGCGACGAUGCGUAGGGGUUCUGAGAGGAAGGCCCCCCACACUGGUACUGAGACACGGACCAGACUCCUACGGGAGGCAGCAG
rnacentral:rRNA from 1 species